UUGUUUUUGUUUUUUGGCAUUUGUUUCCACCUUCUCAGAUUUACUCUACCAGGAAAAUGGGUGUAUUUUAAAUUCACAAAUAAUAUUUGAUUGUUUCUUCUGAAUCCCAUGAAAUGAUAGUUUGUGGAAAUAAUUUUUGUCCUGGGUCCUGUGUCAACCUUGCAUAUUUUAGUCAAAUUUUAUAUUAGAAAACAUUUAGCUCUUUGAUCAUUCUCUUUCUUGCAAAAUAAAAAGUAUAAGGUGAGACAAUCUUCUCUGAGAUUAUUAUCCUGGGAUCUUUGAUCUUGGUACCCCCAUCUUUAAGGAGAACAGCAUCUGUUUUUAAGACUCUAUAGCCUAGAACCAAGUUCACUGUAUUCCCCACCGUACUACUACAAUCUCAGAACUACCUGGAAUCAGUGUGGAACCAAGUUCAUUGUAUUCCCCACUCUUCUACACUCACAGGACCACUUGGAAUCUGUUGUUUGGGGUUGCCAUGGACACGGAGUUCUUAUUCCAGUACUAGCUUGUUACCAGCACCAGGAAAAGUUGUAUUCAAGUCCCAAGAUCUGAGUCCUUCUGUGCUCCACCUCCCUUCUGCUGUGGCCCCUUGAAAGCAGCCCUACCUGUAGAUUAAUUGUAGAUUGUGGUUGUCCACAAGACAAUACCAUGCAGAGAUUAAAGAGGAACCCUUUAUAUCUCUGGUUCAUGCAUCAAAGAAAUAAUAACAGAAUUAUGGAUUCCUCUGACAACAGUGAUGACCAUGGGUGAGUUGACUUGACUGAUCUGAGUGCUGAAAGGUAUUAGAGAGCAUUGGUGGCAAUAAGAGGUUUCCAUAAGAGACUGUAAGCUUCUGUAAAUAACUGUCUUUCUUUUGGGGUCUAAGUCGGGGGGAUAAAAGGAAGAACAUGUCAGAAGAGGGAGACUUCCUACUCAUAAUUUAUGACCCUUAGUAACCAGAAGCCAGAGUUUCUUAGGAUACUCUCAUAAUAUAUGUGUGUGAGACUCUGCUAGAGUAGAGCAGGUAAAGAGAGGAUCCUAUUA